rnacentral:rRNA from 1 species
UACGUAGGGCGCAAGCGUUGUCCGGAAUUAUUGGGCGUAAAGAGCUCGUAGGUGGCUGGUCGCGUCUGCCGUGAAAGCUUAGGGCUUAACCCUAGGUCUGCGGUGGAUACGGGCCGGCUAGAGGUAGGCAGGGGCAAGUGGAAUUCCUGGUGUAGCGGUGAAAUGCGCAGAUAUCAGGAGGAACACCGGUGGCGAAGGCGGCUUGCUGGGCCUUACCUGACGCUGAGGAGCGAAAGCGUGGGGAGCGAACAGG